UACGUAGGGUGCAAGCGUUGUCCGGAAUUAUUGGGCGUAAAGAGCUCGUAGGCGGUUUGUCGCGUCUGCUGUGAAAACUCGGGGCUUAACUCCGGGCCUGCAGUGGGUACGGGCAGACUAGAGUGCGGUAGGGGAGACUGGAAUUCCUGGUGUAGCGGUGAAAUGCGCAGAUAUUAGGAGGAACACCGGUGGCGAAGGCGGGUCUCUGGGCCGUAACUGACGCUGAGGAGCGAAGGCCAGGGGAGCAAACGGG
rnacentral:rRNA from 1 species